CCCUAAAAGCAGUCUUAGUUCGGAUUGCACUCUGCAACUCGAGUGCAUGAAGUUGGAAUCGCUAGUAAUCGCGAAUCAGCAGGUCGCGGUGAAUACGUUCCCGGGCCUUGUACACACCGCCCGUCACACCAUGGGAGUUGGUUCUACCUGAAGGCGCUGUUCUAACCGCAAGGAGG
rnacentral:rRNA from 1 species